rnacentral:rRNA from 1 species
GACGAACGCUGGCGGCGUGCUUAAUACAUGCAAGUCGAACGGAAAGGCCCUGCUCUUGUGGGGUGCUCGAGUGGCGAACGGGUGAGUAACACGUGAGUAACCUGUCCCUGACUUUGGGAUAACUUCAGGAAACUGGGGCUAAUACCGGAUAGGAGCUCCUGCUGCAUGGUGGGGGAUGGAAAGUUUCGGCGGUUGGGGAUGGACUCGCGGCUUAUCAGCUUGUUGGUGGGGUAGUGGCUUACCAAGGCUUUGACGGGUAGCCGGCCUGAGAGGGUGACCGGCCACAUUGGGACUGAGAUACGGCCCAGACUGCUACGGGAGGCAGCAGUGGGGAAUAUUGCACAAUGGGCGGAAGCCUGAUGCAGCAACGCCGCGUGCGGGAUGACGGCCUUCGGGUUGUAAACCGCUUUCGCCUGUGACGAAGCGUGAGUGACGGUAAUGGGUAAGGAAGCACCGGCUAACUACGUG